rnacentral:rRNA from 1 species
ACGGAAGGCAGCAGUGAGGAAUAUUGGUCAAUGGACGCAAGUCUGAACCAGCCAUGCCGCGUGCAGGAAUAAGGCCCUAUGGGUCGUAAACUGCUUUUGUGGUGGAGCAAUAAGUCGUACGUGUACGGCGAUGAGAGUACAUCACGAAUAAGCAUCGGCUAACUCCGUGCCAGCAGCCGCGGUAAUACGGAGGAUGCAAGCGUUAUCCGGAUUUAUUGGGUUUAAAGGGUGCGUAGGCUGUGGUCCAAGUCAGGGGUGAAAGCUCGGAGCUCAACUCCGGAACUGCCUUUGAUACUGGAUUGCUGGAAUACGGAUGCCGUGGGAGGAAUGAGUAGUGUAGCGGUGAAAUGCAUAGAUAUUACUCAGAACACCGAUUGCGAAGGCAUCUCACGAAUCCGUCAUUGACGCUGAGGCACGAAAGCGUGGGGAUCAAACAGGAUUAGAUACCCUGGUA